UGGCAUGGCGCUGCUAUACAUGCAAGUCGAGCGAACAGAUAAGGAGCUUGCUCCUUUGACGUUAGCGGCGGACGGGUGAGUAACACGUGGGUAACCUACCUAUAAGACUGGGAUAACUUCGGGAAACCGGAGCUAAUACCGGAUAAUAUUUCGAACCGCAUGGUUCGAUAGUGAAAGAUGGUUUUGCUAUCACUUAUAGAUGGACCCGCGCCGUAUUAGCUAGUUGGUAAGGUAACGGCUUACCAAGGCGACGAUACGUAGCCGACCUGAGAGGGUGAUCGGCCACACUGGAACUGAGACACGGUCCAGACUCCUACGGGAGGCAGCAGUAGGGAAUCUUCCGCAAUGGGCGAAAGCCUGACGGAGCAACGCCGCGUGAGUGAUGAAGGUCUUCGGAUCGUAAAACUCUGUUAUUAGGGAAGAACAUACGUGUAAGUAACUGUGCACGUCUUGACGGUACCUAAUCAGAAAGCCACGGCUAACUACGUGCCAGCAGCCGCGGUAAUACGUAGGUGGCAAGCGUUAUCCGGAAUUAUUGGGCGUAAAGCGCGCGUAGGCGGUUUUUUAAGUCUGAUGUGAAAGCCCACGGCUCAACCGUGGAGGGUCAUUGGAAACUGGAAAACUUGAGUGCAGAAGAGGAAAGUGGAAUUCCAUGUGUAGCGGUGAAAUGCGCAGAGAUAUGGAGGAACACCAGUGGCGAAGGCGACUUUCUGGUCUGUAACUGACGCUGAUGUGCGAAAGCGUGGGGAUCAAACAGGAUUAGAUACCCUGGUAGUCCACGCCGUAAACGAUGAGUGCUAAGUGUUAGGGGGUUUCCGCCCCUUAGUGCUGCAGCUAACGCAUUAAGCACUCCGCCUGGGGAGUACGACCGCAAGGUUGAAACUCAAAGGAAUUGACGGGGACCCGCACAAGCGGUGGAGCAUGUGGUUUAAUUCGAAGCAACGCGAAGAACCUUACCAAAUCUUGACAUCCCUUUGACAACUCUAGAGAUAGAGCUUUCCCCUUCGGGGGACAAAGUGACAGUGGUGCAUGGUUGUCGUCAGCUCGUGUCGUGAGAUGUUGGGGUUAAGUCCCGCACGAGCGCACCCUUAAGCUAGUGCCAUCAUUAAGUGGCACUCUAGUGACUGCCGGUGACAACCGGGAGAAAGGUGGGGAUGACGUCAAUCAUCAUGCCCGUUAUGAUUGGGCCUACCACCGUGCUAACAUGACAAAUUAACAAGUCAGCGAAAUCGGCGAGGUCAAGCCAAUUCCAUUAAGGGUGUUCUCCCAGUU
rnacentral:rRNA from 1 species